AGCUUUUUUUAUUUACAACCAUUUUUGGCAUUUACUUCAAAAGUUUGUCCAGCAGAUGGUAGCAUGUCUCUUCUUAUGCACCAAUGCAAACUCCUGACAUCAUCAACCUUGGGACAGACAUAUCCAUGGUAACCCAUGAAUGGAUUUACACAGCUGACUGUAAUGAAUGAAAUGGACCAAAAGCUGCAGAAAAAACGCAGACGUUUCACAUGAACGCUUAACCAUUAGGAUUAGCUCUUGGUCACCACAAAGACCUCUGAAAGAACACAACAUCUGGGCUUAAUCUCCAGUACGGUUAUAUGUCCAACAGGAAGAGGCCGAUAACAUGUCUGUUCAACCGAAUCCGGCCAAUUAGCUUCCUGUGAACACAGAGUGGACAGUCAAUAGUGACACGGAGGGGUCAUUGGCCACUGGCUCUUAAUGACAUACUGAGAGGAAGUGGGAUUAGCGAGGGAUGAUGUCAUCGCUGCCACCAGCAUCUGUGCUCUGAAUUACGUUUCUAUUACUCUGUGUUGGUUUAUAAAGAAACACACUGGUGGUAUAAUGUCACAAGGACAUGGAGAUGAAUGUUUGUAGGUGACGAAAAACUGAGGGGAUAAAUGUGCUUUUCCUCUGAUUUAUUUGCUUAUGAAUCAUACAGUGGAUCGCUGAAUUUAUAUUGCUUCAUGCAGCAAGAAUGCACAAAUUGUUCAAGUCUCAGUACGACUUCUCAAAGACGCAAUAGAUUCCAAUGCAUCUGUGUUACAUUACAUCUGCAUUAGAUCACUGAACGACUAGCCUUUUUUGGAAAUCUGCAUAUUUAGUGAAACAGAAACAUAUAUCAUGCACAAAAUUCACUUAUUUUCUCACCCCAGGAUGAAUGAAAGCUUGGUUGCUGUUGAAACGAUUCUCUUUGUUGUUUUUACCAAUGUGCAUCUGACUGAACAGACUUGUUUCCAACCAAGAGUUACGAGAAUGUGUUAACAUUAAUAUUAAAGGUAUAGUUCACCCUAAAAUGA